rnacentral:rRNA from 1 species
GCUUAGAGUUUGAUCCUGGCUCAGGAUGAACGCUGGCGGUAUGCUUAACACAUGCAAGUCGAACGGAGUACUUCGGUACUUAGUGGCGGACGGGUGAGUAACGCGUGAGAAUCUGCCUUCAGGAUGGGGAUAACAGUGGGAAACCAUUGCUAAUACCCAAUGAGCCGAGAGGUAAAAAAUUUAUUGCCUGAAGAGGAGCUCGCGUCCGAUUAGUUAGUUGGUGGGGUAAAGGCUUACCAAGACGGCGAUCGGUAGCUGGUCUGAGAGGAUGAGCAGCCACACUGGGACUGAGACACGGCCCAGACUCCUACGGGAGGCAGCAGUGGGGAAUUUUCCGCAAUGGGCGCAAGCCUGACGGAGCAAUACCGCGUGAGGGAGGAAGGCCUUUGGGUUGUAAACCUCUUUUCUUAAGGAAGAAGAUCUGACGGUACUUAAGGAAUCAGCAUCGGCUAACUCCGUGCCAGCAGCCGCGGUAAUACGGAGGAUGCAAGCGUUAUCCGGAAUUAUUGGGCGUAAAGCGUCCGCAGGCGGCACUAUAAGUCUGCUGUCAAAGACCGCAGCUCAACUGCGGAAAGGCAGUGGAAACUGUAGAGCUAGAGUACGGUAGGGGUAGAGGGAAUUCCCAGUGUAGCGGUGAAAUGCGUAGAGAUUGGGAAGAACACCAGUGGCGAAAGCGCUCUACUGGGCCGUAACUGACGCUCAGGGACGAAAGCUAGGGGAGCGAAAGGGAUUAGAUACCCCUGUAGUCCUAGCUGUAAACGAUGGAUACUAGGCG